GGAUUUCAGAGCCCCUCUGUUAUGUGUUUUUCUCCUCUCUCUCCUGCCCACCCAAGCCCUCAGAGGGGAAGAUCUGCUGAAGACAGGGAGAGGUCCUUGCAGUCCCUUGGCAAAGCAGGUGCUACCUCUGUGGCUCUGGAGAGCAGAGAAUUCACUGAAGGACAUGAGAUGCCCAGUGGCUCCCCCAUGCCAACCUACCACAAUGCUCCCAACUCAAGAGAAAAGAGGGCCUCACCCCAAGAAGCCACAGAUGAGUGCUUAUGGAAGGAGAGAAUGAAUGAUUGAGAUAACAUCGUCCUGAACACAUCAGGCAAGAUACCUGAAGGAAAUAGGAAGCAUGUCCAGAGGGGACUUGAAGAGGCAUCCAUGAAGGGACAGUUGACUGAGCUGUAAAGAGGGGAUGUGGAAGCACCAGGGACCCAGCAAUAGCACACAGCAUCACUCCACCUCUGCAAAGGGGGCUAGAAGAGGGCACGGUCUUACUGGAAUGGGGCAGGAGCUGGACUGUGGAGGGUGGGCCACUCUGCAUGGCAGGAGCUAUAGGACCCAUGGUCACCACCCAGCACAUGGGGAUCACUCCUAUUGGCUUCAUUGCCUGUCUUCCUCAGGGUGCUGUGAGAUCCUUAAUAAACCAGGUUUUGCUAAACUCUAGAUCCCCCCAAAUUAAGCACCAGGUCUUCCAUUGAGUAAGUCUUAGUUAACUAAUUAAUUGAGUCCUCUUGAUUUCCUAAGACCACUCACUCCUGGAUGGUGAUCUCUUUACCAAUGGGCUUCCCCCCAAAAGAGACAUCAAGGACUGAGCUGAUCACCUCUGUCCCAAAAUGGCCACACUCACGUGAGAUUCAGUUUCCACUGGAUGUGCCCCUCUCCAAAUGGGGUGCAGGGCUCUGGAUCCUGCCUCUCAAACCCAAAGAGCAGCAUCACUGAGUGCACACACAGAUAAACACAAUGAGUUACCGCCGAAAGUUAGGACUCCAGUAGAGAACUCAGAG
rnacentral:lncRNA from 1 species